GCCAGCGGUGAUAGCACGUUGAAAGAACCAGUACCCGAUGGAUCACUAAUUGCAACGUUGAGCGUGGUUGGUGUCCAGAUGGGUGACCAGCUGGAUAAUCACGUGCUACUACCU
rfam:Asian citrus Psyllid, Diaphorina citri - Florida Strain, whole genome shotgun sequence.